rnacentral:rRNA from 1 species
UACAGAGGUGGCAAGCGUUGUUCGGAAUUAUUGGGCGUAAAGCGCGUGUAGGCGGCUUUGCAAGUCGGGUGUGAAAGCCCUCAGCUCAACUGAGGAAGUGCGCCCGAAACUGCAGAGCUUGAGUGCCGGAGAGGGUGGCGGAAUUCCCCAAGUAGAGGUGAAAUUCGUAGAUAUGGGGAGGAACACCGGUGGCGAAGGCGGCAUCCUGGACCAUGACGUGACGCUGAGGAGCGAAAGCCAGGGGAGCAAACGGG